AGUGAACGCUGGCGGUAGGCCUAACACAUGCAAGUCGAACGGCAGCACAGUAAGAGCUUGCUCUUACGGGUGGCGAGUGGCGGACGGGUGAGGAAUACCUCGGAAUCUACUUUUUCGUGGGGGAUAACGUAGGGAAACUUACGCUAAUACCGCAUACGACCUACGGGUGAGAGCAGGGGAUCUUCGGACCUUGCGCGAUUGAAUGAGCCGAUGUCGGAUUAGCUAGUUGGCGGGGUAAAGGCCCACCAAGGCGACGAUCCGUAGCUGGUCUGAGAGGAUGAUCAGCCACAGUGGAACUGAGACACGGUCCAGACUCCUACGGGAGGCAGCAGUGGGGAAUAUCGGACAAUGGGCGCAAGCCUGAUCCAGCCAUACCGCGUGGGUGAAGAAGGCCUUCGGGUUGGAAAGCCCUUUUGUUGGGAAAGAAAAGCAGCAGGUUAAUACCCCGCUGUUCUGACGGUACCCAAAGAAUAAGCACCGGCUAACUUCGUG
rnacentral:rRNA from 1 species